GCUCUGGUGGCCUAGUGGUUAGAGCGUCCGCCUCGGAUGCGUGAGGUCAUGGGUUCGAUCAGUCGAGUUAUACCA